AGGACCGCAGCUUUGCCACCACAUACCCGGCCAAAAAGCCUUUGAGGAAGGGAGAACUGAGAAAACUUCCACCCUAAAUGAGGAAGAGAGACAAAGAGAGUGGAGUUUGUUGGUGCUGUUGGGACAUUUCAGACUGGAAUGUGUCUGAGUUAACCUCAGGGGGCUUUCCGGAAGACACCAUGCUGGGGAAGGAUUACAUGCUCGCCAUCAUCAUCGUCAACUAUGAUGAUAACAUCUGGAAUGAUCAGACACUGGAGCUGGACUCAGAUCUGCCUCCAGGAUGGCGAACUAUACGGGACAGCACUGGCACCUAUUAUUGGCACGUGCCCACAGGCACCACGCAGUGGCAACAUCCCUCCUACAGCGCAGAGGAGGAACAAAACACCGUUAACAGCCUCACAGCCAACCAGUUUAAGAGUGCUGCAGAUGGCAGGUGGGAAUCGAGAGGCAGGACUGAAAACCCACUGGCGUCUCUCAGUGAAAGGCCCUCCUGGCAGGAAGAGUAUUUCUGUGCUAACAUGGAUCCUGGCUCCAAGUGUUUUGCCGUGCGUUCCCUGGGUUGGGUCGAGAUCCCUGAAGAAGAGCUGACUCCUGGCAAGAGCAGUCUAGCUGUGAACAACUGCAUCCAGCAGCUCUCUCACAGUAAAGCCGAGGGCCGGGAUGCCGUUGGUGCCUGGGGAGAGGGUCAAGAUAUGAUGAUGGUGCUGAAGAAGGACACACUCAGUUUAAUGGACCCUGUGGAUCGCAGUCUCAUCCAUUGCCAGCCAAUAAUCAACAUUCGUGUUUGGGGGGUCGGCUGCAACAAUGGAAGGGACUUUGCCUUUGUGGCCAGUGAUAAAGACACCUGCAUGCUUAAGUGCCAUGUGUUUCGUUGCAAUGCUCCAGCCAAGACAAUAGCAUCUGCACUGCAUGAGAUGUGCUCCAAGAUCAUGGCAGAGAAGGCAGUGCUGAAGCCCUCAAUAGCCCGUUCUCUCACCAUGGAGAGCAUCUCCCCGGAGGACUUACCCCGGCAAGUGGACUUUCUGGAAGCAGUGAGGCAGAGGGUGCAGAAGUUUGAAGUGCAGUACAUUGGAAACCUGCCUGUCUCCAGAGCAAUGGGAAUGGAAGUUUUGAACCGUGCUAUUGAGAGCAUCAUGCACUCCAGAGACAGAGAUGAGUGGGAGCCCAUUGUCAUCCAUGUCUCUGAUACAAUUUUGUCAUUAUGGAGAGGAGAGGAUGGAGAUGACCCAUUUUGGGAGUGUCAGGUACGUUACCUGACGUUCCUGGGUGUGGGUCAUGACACGCACACUUUUGCAGUCAUAGUGGAUGCUGGAACCCAGCGCUUUGAGUGCCACGUGUUCUGGUGUGAGCCCGAUGCUGGGAUCAUCUCUGAAGCUGUUCAGGCCGCGUGCAUGGUUCAAUACCAGAAGUGCUUGGUUGCCCAGACUCCUCCUGUGAGGUCCAAAAUGUGGAGGGCAGGGUCCAAAGUCAAACGGGCCAACUCCAUUGACGGCUCCAGCUUCCCACCCAGGCACCAAGGACACACAUCUUCCAAACUGGCCUCUCCCAGCAUCAAGAAGGGCAUGCUGGCAUUUUUCGAAACGUUUCGUAAUAAACAUUCUGCUGUACAAACACCCUAGCAAGGGGGAGGCGGGUGGGUCCUGACAGGUUUUGAAGAAGGGGGGUAUCAGGAGAUACAAAACGGAAUACAAACAUUAUCAGUAAAGACUCGCCAGCAUUUCAUUUUAAAUCCAGGCUUUCCCUCAUAUUGGCCUUAAUAAAAUGACAUAAUUGACAUUUCUGAAUGUUGGUGUGCAGAACAGCGUGUACAUGAGAACAUUGAGGUGCUGUGCUCUCACAUUCCAAACAUUUACAAAUGUUCUGCUGGUGUAAUGUUAAUUUGAUCCAUUUUGAAAGAAACGAUAUAGCAUGGAUGAGUAAACUCUCAUCUGAACCCCCAAAACAGCAAAAGAAACAUUUUGAGCCUAAAGAGCAUGUUGUGCAAUAAAAGUCUUGCAUUUGCAAUGUAUGAUUUUAUUUAAUAACAAAGAUUGAUGUACAAAUGUAGGAAUAAUGUGCAAAAGUGAAAUAGAUCAAUUUAGCCUCGACAUGGUAGAAAGAUAAUCUUUGCUGUUCUUCUUAUCCAACGAUGCACAAAAGUUCAUUCUUUCCUUAUCAGUAAAGUAUAUGACAUUGACUGGCGUGUCUACUCCAUUUUGAACCGAGCAAUGUUCAAACACAACAAAGAGACCUCAAAUAACACAGUCCAACAGUGGAAAAUCAUUUCUGCAGAGAUCAAACCUGCUAGUGUCUCUCACAUUGUGAUCCUAUUGUAUGCUUAGAAAUGCAAAUAAAAAAAAGACAUUCGUGAGCCCUCGUAUAGAGACAAGCAUUGCUUGUUAUAAUCCUUCUGGUUUGUGGAGUUCUCAAUUUAGUGCCACUGUUGCAUGAUAUUGCACAUGCUUAAAAAAACAAGACGUAGCUUGGGUACCGAGAACACAGGUAGAGGGAUUUAGAGCCGAGUAUGUACUUUGAUAUUUUUAAACAGUAAGAUAGUGAGAAUAUACCGAAGGAACUGCAAGAAAACCUUGACCCCUUUUAACUCGCGUUCGGCUGAAAGCACCUGACCUCAGCGCAUGUUGAUCUGAGAUGCCGGCGGGCGAUUACUCAACCACACGAAUGCCACUGAAGGAAGUCACAUAAUGCUAUCUAACAUAUGCAACCUUCCCUUAAAAAAAAUAACAUGUAUCAUAUCACAAAAGAUCUCAGGUCUCCUUAAUGCUAAAACAGUGGGGCAUAGGAAUGGACGAGUCUUCAGCAUGUAAGAUCAAAAGCUUUGUGAAGAUAAACAAAGAGUUGUUAUGUAGCAUCUUGUGUUUCUUAUGUUUUUCCUAUUUAUAAGAAAUCUCUUUAUCUAUAUUUGCAGUAUUUCGACAGAAAUCUAGGAUGUAAUGUAAAUGGUUUUGUAUUAUAAUUUGUGUUUGUUAUUGAUUGUUAUUAUUAUUCAGACUGACAUUGUCAGUAUUGGGACAUUAAACUGCUCGAAUCUCUCUCUGUGUC